rnacentral:lncRNA from 1 species
AUGUUAUGUUUUAAUAAGUUGAAGAACACUUACAUGGUCCUCAAAAUCAGGACUGGUCAAGUUGAUAGAGAGGUUUCUCAUUAGCAAUAACACCUGAAAGAUGGAACAACUUGAAUCAUCUGAAUACAGAUACAUCACAUACACUAAUCAUAUAACGCAUACCGUUUCAACAUCAAUGGGGUCCAUCUUUUUGAGUCUUUGCACGUGACCAAUAGUAUUUGGAUCAAACACACUUCCAAUGAACCCAUACACUUGAGCAAAGUCAGGCAGAACUGGACCAAUGAUUAAAAAAAUCAAAUUCGAAUUAUGACCCAGUUAGCAAAAGAUAAAUACACAUAAACUAAGACAUGGUCUAUAUUUUGCAAUAUAAAGCGUUUAAAAAACCUCUUGAUGGAAGUCCAUGACCAUGUAUUUCAACUUUUGGUCGUGAUUUGGGAACAGUCUCAUCACUGCUGCAACGGUUAACAUCCGCCGAUUGACCUCCAGAUGCAACGCCAUCUGUAACGUGAUACCAUGUGAAGAUACUAGAUAGUAAACAAAAUAGUAAAGUAGAAGCCAGAGAACUAUUUGUAUUUUACUACCUUUCGCUAUAUGGGACAAACCACCAGUUUCCACAGAGUUCUUCACCACUUUAGAGGGAUCGGCCCGUAACAAUUCAGGGUCAGUAAGAGCAGGUGUAGUUUGUAAUGUUGCAGCAACAUUUGAGAGCACUGGAGCUGAUACAUCGAAUUUGAUUAAGCAUGCAUUAAACGUAUAUUAUAAAGUAUAGGCCCAAGCCCGAGUUUUCUCGUGUUCUUACCACUUUUCGCAGCCUUUUGUGGAUAUGGGUGUGCAGCUUUCCGUUUUGGACGAGGAGGAGGCAGAUGUUCGUUAGUACCACUUUUUUGAACUUUCAGAAAGUACUUCUGUGCAUGACUACGAAUCUGCAUAGGUCACUGAAAAAAUUAAAACACCUUCUCCAAACAUAAAAUCAGGUAUUAAUUAAUGAGAAAAAGAAAAAAUAUCUCCAAACUUGAUGCCUUCACAAAUAAAACUAAACAGUACACUGAUCUUGACUAAAAUCUGCGACAAGAUUUCAGCUAGAACUACCAAAGUCCAUUAGAAACCAUCGCCAAGGCAUAGCUGUGCAUGGUUUAGAUACAACAAGUAAUCGAGAACAAAGAGUAAAAGGAGAUCUAGUUGUGGUUAGCCAGUACAUAUAGUGUAAGUAAAUUAUUGCUUAGAUAAGGGAUUAUUUCAGUACCCUGUGCUGGAUGUUCUCUUAAAAUAAGUAACAAUCAGCAGAAUUCACCUGGAUGACAGUCUUUGAACCUAUGAAAGCUUCAAUUUUCUUCCAAUCACGAUCAAAGCUGUAAAGCAAUGGACCAAAAGAAACAUUCAGGAAACUGUUUCAUGAAUCAUGAUAUAUGUGAUCCAUGAAUGAAUUCAUAACUACACUUAAGGGCUUAAAGCUAAUCUUAAACAAGCAAUCAAAAAAUUGUGGUAGACUUCAAUCACCAUGACAGACCUUACUAACAAAAACAUAUCACCAGAAAACUAGCAUUCAAUUAAACUGAGAAAGUUGUGAUUACAAGUCACAAAGUGUAAUAGAAACACAUAGCAUCUAUUUAUACUAGAAAUUACUAGAGUAACUAACAAUGUACCUAGCUAACUAACUUGUAACUAGCUCUAGCUAAUCUAUUCUUUCAACAUUCCCCCUCAAGCUAGACGUUGGUAGCACCAUUUAGCUUGAAACCAAUAAUAAAACUGUUGAGCCCGGUUAAACUAAUAAAGAUAAACAAUUUUCCAAGCCUAGUGAGAUAGAUGUUGGCAUGAGAAGUGUGUUGCUUUGUUGAAAAUUGCUGGAGCAGUGGAGCCACAGAAACGAACGAGGCCCAAUAGUCACAUGUACCAUAAAGAGAGUCAUAAGCCAUAGUCUGCCCUAAUCCUAAUCUCCGAUACCAUGAAAAACUAUCUAAUCUAUUCUAUAUCUAAGAAACAAAAAUACUGAAAACAAGAAAGCUAUGAUUAUAAUUUACAAAAUUGCUACAGAAUUACAAAUCGCCUAUUUGUACUAAAAAAUACUAGAGUAACUAACACCUUUACUAGCUAACUAACUUGUAACUAAUUCUAGCUAAUCUAUUCCUUCACCAGAUCUAAAUAUCUGGUCCACUAGUUCUCUAUCUCAAAAGCAUACUACAUGUGCUUCCUAAUUCCUACAAGUGGCAUAUAACUGUAGCAG